UACAGAGGUCCCAAGCGUUGUUCGGAUUCAUUGGGCGUAAAGGGUGCGUAGGCGGCUUGUUGCGUCGUCCGUGAAAACCUGUGGCUCAACUACAGGCUUGCGGUCGAUACGGGCGGGCUGGAGUUCGGUAGGGGAGACUGGAAUUCCUGGUGUAGCGGUGAAAUGCGCAGAUAUCAGGAGGAACACCGGUGGCGAAGGCGGGUCUCUGGGCCGAUACUGACGCUGAGGAGCGAAAGCGUGGGGAGCGAACAGG
rnacentral:rRNA from 1 species